rnacentral:ncRNA from 1 species
ACCAAAUAGAUUAUCUUCGCUGUUUGUAGCUGGUCCGCGCACUGAUAUUUAAAAGGAAAUGUAGUCAACCCAUAUUGACUUAAACAUCAAAGUUAAAUCGUCCCUGGCUGGGCUUGAACCAGCAACCUUUCGGUUAACAGCCGAACGCGCACUAUGCCUGAGGAGGUUGAAGCCAGAGGAAACUCUGGUGGAGGACCGUAGCGAUUCUGACGUGCAAAUCGAUCGUCAAAUUUGGGUAUAGGGGCGAAAGACUAAUCGAACCGUCUAGUAGCUGGUUCCCUUCGAAGUUUCCCUCAGGAUAGCUGGCGCUCUGUCGCAGUUUGAUCUGGUAAAGCGAAAGAUUAGAGGUCUUGGGG